UUUUUUAAUAAAAUAGUUGUGUUUUUAAAAUGCUUUUAAAUAUAUAUUUUAAUUUAUGGAAGUUUAAUCCGAAUAAAUUAAGCCUUCAAAAUUUUUCAAAGCAAUCACUUCUAAUACAAAAGCGGAAACGGUCAUCAUCAGAUUCAAAUAAAUGCUCGAACGAAGUGAAAGCAUCGGCUACAAGGUUACUUAUAUUUAAACAUGGUAUGAUUGCAAAUUAUGGGCCCCUUUGACGCUUCAAUUAAAUUAACAACUUAUUGGACAUUCAGGCCAGCGUGUUCAGCCAUGAUACGAUUGCUUUGCCAGGUUUCCAUGCAAUGUUUUCAUUUAAUGCCAAGGAUGAGGUAGAACACGCUAUGAAAUUAGUACACUAUCAGAACCUGCGAGGCGGACGAUUGAAACUGUAUGCAAUUCAACCACCUGAAGAGGAAAUAUGGAAUCCUACAUCUGCCGUAACGAUUUCACUUAACACUGAAAAAAAUGUCUUAGACAGUUUAAUCAAAGUGGCUGAAAAGGGUAAUGAACAUGGUGAUAUUAAUUUAGAAGACUUUAUUACAACCCAAUUUCUCCCUGAACAAUAUGAAGCCCUAAAGUUUUUAGGAAGUUUACUAGCACAAAUAAAACGUGUCCAGGAUGGAGAGGGUUUAUUCAUGCUUGACUUGGAUCUGUUAAAAACUUACAGAAAAAAGAUUAAAAAAUAAGCAACAACUAAA
rnacentral:misc_RNA from 1 species